rnacentral:misc_RNA from 1 species
AACCUAGCACACCUGCGGUGUGUACCUGCGGAAGGAUCAUUAACCUUUCAAAUCAGGGUGCGGCGCGGCCCCCGAGGAGCGGAAACAAUCCUUGGGAGGUAUGCGGGGGCUUCGAGCCCCCCAUUUACGCACGCACGACUGCCAUCCUUACUUUACGAGCACCUUCUGUUCUCCCUCGGCGGGGCAACCUGCCGUUGGAACCGAAUAAACUCUUUUUGCAUCUAGCAUUACCUGUUCCGU